CUCUGCUGUGAGUCUCCUUCAUGUUUCAUGUAUUAUCUGUGUUUCCACCACUGGAGGGCGCUGUGGGUUAUUGAUGUGUGGGAACAGUAACCAAUCACUGCAGUCUGAAUGCUUCUCUUUGGUCAUGUGACCAUUUGAUCUCUGAUCAGUGUGUUCUUCAGUUUCAGGCCUGUUUCUGCUGACUGCUGCAGGUGUGUGUGUGCUGCUGCUGUCUGCUCUGGCUGUUCCUGCAGCUCCUCCUCUCCCCUGUGAGUCUGUGCUGAGGCUCGUCUGCCAUCUAGUGGUCUUCUGUCCGUACUGCAUCUCCACUGGUCUGCUGCUGUCCAUCUCUUGGAGCAGGAAGACACAGAACAAACCGUUUGUCUCCAUGGAGAUGACCCAGCGUGAUGGAGGAGAUCAGGGACUGGCUGAAGAUGGUGAUGAUGUCACUGCUGAUGUCACCACUGAGCAUGCCUUCUGAGCUGCAGACUGUGUGUCAGGGUACCAGCAUCUGCAGUGUUUCUGUAUCUUAGUUCCUCUUUUGAUGUAUUGGAGAAAAGUUCCAGUGUUUACUGUCAGUAUGGAUUAGUUAGGUUUGAGUUUAUCGCUUCAUCCCUGUUUCCUGUAUAAGUCUGUCCUCUGUGUAUGUCUCCUCUGUCUGUAUUGUGUCUCCUGUACAUUCUCUCCAGUCCAUCAUGUGCGUCUCCUCCCAUUGUCUUCCAAGUUCGUCUAGUUCUUCCCUCCCGUCUCCUGUGUCAUGUUUUGUGAAUUAAUGUUUCCUGUUUUACUUUGACAGUGUCACAUCCUGUGUUCAGUGUGUGUAGUUUUGCUUCCUGUGUGUCAUCACGUCCACUCUCCCUAAUUACCCUUGUGUGCUUAUGUUGUGUCUGUUUUCCUCUGUGUCUCUCAUGUCAUGGUCCAGUUCCCUGGUCCUGGUCUCAUGGUCCAGUUUUCCUUGUUUUUUGCUUUAGUUU